rnacentral:rRNA from 1 species
CAGGAUGAACGCUGGCGGCGUGCCUAACACAUGCAAGUCGAGCGAUUCUCUUCGGAGAAGAGCGGCGGACGGGUGAGUAACGCGUGGUAACCUGCCCUGUACACACGGAUAACAUACCGAAAGGUAUGCUAAUACGAGAUAAUAUGCUUUUAUCGCAUGGUAGAAGUAUCAAAGCUUUUGCGGUACAGGAUGGACCCGCGUCUGAUUAGCUAGUUGGUAAGGUAACGGCUUACCAAGGCGACGAUCAGUAGCCGACCUGAGAGGGUGAUCGGCCACAUUGGAACUGAGACACGGUCCAAACUCCUACGGGAGGCAGCAGUGGGGAAUAUUGCACAAUGGGCGAAAGCCUGAUGCAGCAACGCCGCGUGAGCGAUGAAGGCCUUCGGGUCGUAAAGCUCUGUCCUCAAGGAAGAUAAUGACGGUACUUGAGGAGGAAGCCCCGGCUAACUACGUG